rnacentral:sRNA from 12 species
UUUUUGGGAUAUCGUGCACAUUUUCUCCUCCUCCGGCUGUUCUCCUUCACAGUCGUGAUCCCUGUGCCGCACAGGCGGUAUCCCGCUUCGUGUGCAAAAAAGCUCGUC